rnacentral:rRNA from 1 species
UACGUAGGGGGCAAGCGUUGUCCGGAUUUAUUGGGCGUAAAGAGCGUGUAGGCGGCCAGGUAGGUCUGCUGUGAAAACUCGAGGCUCAACCUCGAGACGUCGAUGGAAACCGUAUGGCUAGAGUCCGGAAGAGGAGAGUGGAAUUCCUGGUGUAGCGGUGAAAUGCGCAGAUAUCAGGAAGAACACCCGUGGCGAAGGCGGCUCUCUGGGACGGUACUGACGCUGAGACGCGAAAGCGUGGGGAGCGAACAGG